ensembl:lncRNA
CUCAACUCCAGUAUUUACUGCACCUACAGAAAGUCUACUUGGUUUAUAACAUUAGAAUUUAAACAUGCAGCCUUUAGAUCCUGCCUUGAUUCCUCCCUCACAGUAUAUUGUAUACGUUUCUCUGUAGCAUAAAGGCCUCUUCAGGGACCUCAGUGCUUAUAGCUAUGGAAUAGUCCAUCGUGUUUAUGAACAAUGAUUCUUCUAUUGCUGGACUGUAAGGUUUUCUCAGAGUUCCUGGGACUUGACGAGCCUUUGGAUACCAGAGGAAAAAAGAAACAAACAUGGGCCUAUAGUGAGAAAGCUCCAUGAACAUGGACCAGCAGGUCCUGGUGCCUGUCCCCUGGAAAGUGUGCCAGCAAGAGACGGCAGUCAGCGAUGUGCAGCUAAUGUGAAGAUGCUGAGGGACAGAGGGACGUGCGGUGUAGGGCCUCGGGGGAAGGCGGGCUGCUUCCCUGAGGGCAGGUGGUGCCCUUGGAUGCUCCAAGGGCUGCAGUGUGCUCUCUCACUGGGGUCUGUAUCUGUUAGCUAUUGUCCCAAUCAAGCUGUGUAACAAACCAGCCCACAACUCAGUUGCAAACAAUGAGUGUUUACUUCUCACUCUCACGUCUACUGUAGUUCAUCACAUCUAGGCUGGGCCUGACUUUGCUGGGCUUCAAGCUAAGGCUUGAGUCCAGCUCUGCUCUUGAGUCUCUCAUCUUUCCAGGACUGAUGACCACCAGAGGCAGAUUCUUCUCAUAGAGAAGGCAGGAGCACAAGAGGCCAGGACCAGCUGCGUAGGCAUCUUCAGGCCUCCGCCCACAUCCCACCAGCCAAAGAGAAUCACAUAACCAAAUCCAACCUCAGGGAGACAAGAGACUCCACACCCAGAGGAGAAAACUACCAAGUCACGUGACAAAGGGCAAGGAUGCAGGGAAGGAGGCUGAAGAAUCAGGACGGUGAUCCCCAACAGUGGGGCCUCCCACAGGCGUCAAAAUCCCCAGCCUGGGCGUACUUCCCAGGAAACAGACUCCUGACCCAGGGUGUGGGAGCAGGUGAUUUCUCUUCUCCCUGAUGAAGUCUCCCCAUCUGUAAAACAGGAGUAGUGAUGUCACGUCAAGUCAUAUCACAUACAUUUGCUUAAAGUUUAAACAGUGAAUCCCAGAAACAUGCUUAAAACAGAGCCGGG